UAUAUUUUAAUGUAAAAGCAUAUUAAUUUUUGAAGUUAAAUGAAAUAAUUUAAUUUAUUAGAUAUAA
rnacentral:tRNA from 1 species